rnacentral:rRNA from 1 species
GAUGAACGCUGGCGGCGUGCCUAACACAUGCAAGUCGAGCGAACCCUUCGGGGUGAGCGGCGGACGGGUGAGUAACGCGUGGGUAGCCUGCCCUGUACACACGGAUAACAUACCGAAAGGUAUGCUAAUACGAGAUAAUAUAUUUUAAUCGCAUGGUUAAGAUAUCAAAGCUCCGGCAGUACAGGGUGGACCCGCGUCUGAUUAGCUAGUUGGUGAGGUAAUGGCUCACCGAGGCGACGAUCAGUAGCCGACCUGAGAGGGUGAUCGGCCACACUGGAACUGGGACACGGGCCAGACUCCUACGGGAGGCAGCAGUGGGAAUAUUGCACAAUGGGCGAAAGCCUGAUGCAGCAACGCCACGUGAGCGAUGAAGGCCUUCGGGUCGUAAAGCUCUGUCCUCAAGGAAGAUAAUGACGGUACUUGAGGAGGAAGCCCCGGCUAACUACGUGCCAGCCGCCGCCGUAA